rnacentral:rRNA from 1 species
GUAAAGCACUUUCAGUUGUGAGGAAGGUGGUGUCGUUAAUAGCGGCAUCAUUUCGACGUUAGCAACAGAAGAAGCACCGGCUAACUCCGUGCCAGCAGCCGCGGUAAUACGGAGGGUGCGAGCGUUAAUCGGAAUUACUGGGCGUAAAGCGCAUGCAGGUGGUUUGUUAAGUCAGAUGUGAAAGCCCCGGGGCUCAACCUCGGAACUGCAUUUGAAACUGGCAGACUAGAGUACUGUAGAGGGGGUAGAAUUUCAGGUGUAGCGGUGAAAUGCGUAGAGAUCUGAAGGAAUACCGGUGGCGAAGGCGGCCCCCCUGGACAGAUACUGACACUCAGAUUCGCGAAAGCGUGGGGAGCAAACCAGGAUUAGAUACCCUCGGUAG